rnacentral:piRNA from 1 species
UAGCUUCUUCAGAAUGAUUGUGCCUUAAAC